GGGGACCACCACUGGAAACGGUGGCUAAUACCGGAUGUGCCGAAAGGUGAAAGAUUUAUUGCCUGAAGAUGAGCUCGCGUCUGAUUAGCUAGUAGGUGUGGUAAGAGCGCACCUAGGCGACGAUCAGUAGCUGGUCUGAGAGGAUGAUCAGCCACACUGGGACUGAGACACGGCCCAGACUCCUACGGGAGGCAGCAGUGGGGAAUUUUCCGCAAUGGGCGAAAGCCUGACGGAGCAAUACCGCGUGAGGGAGGAAGGCUCUUGGGUUGUAAACCUCUUUUCUCAGGGAAGAACAUAAUGACGGUACCUGAGGAAUAAGCAUCGGCUAACUCCGUGCCAGCAGCCGCGGUAAUACGGAGGAUGCAAGCGUUAUCCGGAAUGAUUGGGCGUAAAGCGUCCGCAGGUGGCUAUGUAAGUCUGCUGUUAAAGAGUGAGGCUCAACCUCAUAAGAGCAGUGGAAACUACAUAGCUAGAGUGCGUUCGGGGCAGAGGGAAUUCCUGGUGUAGCGGUGAAAUGCGUAGAGAUCAGGAAGAACACCGGUGGCGAAAGCGCUCUGCUAGGCCGCAACUGACACUGAGGGACGAAAGCUAGGGGAGCGAAUGGGAUUAGAUACGCCCGUUAA
rnacentral:rRNA from 1 species